rnacentral:rRNA from 1 species
GAUGAACGCUGGCGGCGUGCCUAAUACAUGCAAGUCGAGCGAACGGACGAGAAGCUUGCUUCUCUGAUGUUAGCGGCGGACGGGUGAGUAACACGUGGAUAACCUACCUAUAAGACUGGGAUAACUUCGGGAAACCGUAGCUAAUACCGGAUAAUAUUUUGAACCGCAUGGUUCAAAAGUGAAAGACGGUCUUGCUGUCACUUAUAGAUGGAUCCGCGCUGCAUUAGCUAGUUGGUAAGGUAACGGCUUACCAAGGCAACGAUGCAUAGCCGACCUGAGAGGGUGAUCGGCCACACUGGAACUGAGACACGGUCCAGACUCCUACGGGAGGCAGCAGUAGGGAAUCUUCCGCAAUGGGCGAAAGCCUGACGGAGCAACGCCGCGUGAGUGAUGAAGGUCUUCGGAUCGUAAAACUCUGUUAUUAGGGAAGAACAUAUGUGUAAGUAACUGUACACAUCUUGACGGUACCUAAUCAGAAAGCCACGGCUAACUACGUG